rnacentral:rRNA from 1 species
UGGGGAAUUUUGGACAAUGGGCGAAAGCCUGAUCCAGCAAUGCCGCGUGUGUGAAGAAGGCCUUCGGGUUGUAAAGCACUUUUGUCCGGAAAGAAAUCCUUGGCUCUAAUACAGUCGGGGGAUGACGGUACCGGAAGAAUAAGCACCGGCUAACUACGUGCCAGCAGCCGCGGUAAUACGUAGGGUGCAAGCGUUAAUCGGAAUUACUGGGCGUAAAGCGUGCGCAGGCGGUUUGCUAAGACCGAUGUGAAAUCCCCGGGCUCAACCUGGGAACUGCAUUGGUGACUGGCAGGCUAGAGUAUGGCAGAGGGGGGUAGAAUUCCACGUGUAGCAGUGAAAUGCGUAGAGAUGUGGAGGAAUACCGAUGGCGAAGGCAGCCCCCUGGGCCAAUACUGACGCUCAUGCACGAAAGCGUGGGGAGCAAACAGGAUUAGAUACCCUGGGUAGUCCACGCCCUAAACGAUGUCAACUAGUUGUUGGGGGAUUCAUUUCCUUAGUAACGUAGCUAACGCGUGAAGUUGACCGCCUGGGGGAGUACGGUCGCAAGAUUAAAACUCAAAUGAAUUGACGGGGUCAUAGCUGUUUCCU